GACGAACGCUGGCGGCGUGCUUAACACAUGCAAGUCGAACGGUGAAGCGCCUUCCUUUUUGGUGGGUGUGGAUGAGUGGCGAACGGGUGAGUAACACGUGAGUAACCUGCCCCCUUCUUCUGGAUAACCGCAUGAAAGUGUGGCUAAUACGGGAUAUUCUGGGUCUGUCGCAUGAUGGGUCUGGGAAAGAUAUUGCUUCGGUGGGGGAUGGGCUCGCGGCCUAUCAGCUUGUUGGUGGGGUGAUGGCCUACCAAGGCGGUGACGGGUAGCCGGCCUGAGAGGGUGGACGGUCACACUGGGACUGAGACACGGCCCAGACUCCUACGGGAGGCAGCAGUGGGGAAUAGUGCACAAUGGGCGCAAGCCUGAUGCAGCGACGCCGCGUGAGGGAUGGAGGCCUUCGGGUUGUGAACCUCUUUCGCCAGUGAAGCAGGCCUGCCUCGUUUGUGGGUGGGUUGACGGUAGCUGGAGAAGAAGCGCCGGCUAACUACGUG
rnacentral:rRNA from 1 species